UACGGAGGAUGCGAGCGUUAUCCGGAUUUAUUGGGUUUAAAGGGUGCGUAGGCGGUCCGGAAAGUCAGCGGUAAAAGCCCGGGGCUCAACCCCGGCGAGCCGUUGAAACUGUCGGACUAGAGACGGCGAGAAGUACGCGGAAUGCGCGGUGUAGCGGUGAAAUGCAUAGAUAUCGCGCAGAACUCCGAUUGCGAAGGCAGCGUACCGGCGCCGGACUGACGCUGAGGCACGAAAGCGUGGGUAUCGAACGGG
rnacentral:rRNA from 1 species